rnacentral:rRNA from 1 species
CCUACGGGAGGCAGCAGUGAGGAAUAUUGGUCAAUGGUCGGGAGACUGAACCAGCCAAGCCGCGUGAGGGAUGAAGGUACAGAGUAUCGUAAACCUCUGUUGUCAGGGAACAAAGGCGGGGACGUGUCCCCGGAUGAGUGUACCUGAAGAAAAAGCAUCGGCUAACUCCGUGCCAGCAGCCGCGGUAAUACGGGGGAUGCGAGCGUUAUCCGGAUUUACUGGGGUAAAAGGGUGCGCAGGCGGUCUGUUAAGUCAGCGGUAAAAGCCCGGGGCUAAACCCCGGGCCGCCGUUGAAACUGGCAGUCUCGAGUUGGAGAGAAGUAGGCGGAAUGUGCGGUGUAGCGGUGAAAUGCAUAGAUAUCGCGCAGAACUCCGAUUGCGAAGGCAGCAUGCCGGCUCCACACUGACGCUGAGGCACGAAAGCGUGGGUAUCGAACAGGAUUAGAUACCCUUGUAGUC